UACGGAGGGUGCGAGCGUUGUCCGGAAUCAUUGGGCGUAAAGGGCGCGUAGGUGGCCCGGUCAGUCCGUGGUGAAAGCGCGGGGCUCAACCCUGCGUCGGCCAUGGAUACUGCCGCGGCUCGACCACUGUAGAGGCAGGCGGAAUUCCGGGUGUAGCGGUGGAAUGCGUAGAGAUCCGGAAGAACACCGGUGGCGAAGGCGGCCUGCUGGGCAGUAUAGCUGACACUGAGGCGCGACAGCGUGGGGAGCAAACAGG
rnacentral:rRNA from 1 species